CCAGUCAUUGUACCCACAUUUAAAGUAUCAACUCCUUCACUUCUCCUUUCCCUGCCGUCUCUGUAGACGUCUUCCUCCUCUCCCUCCCGAUGAUGUCAGGUGAUAAGAACACCAUUAGCAAUGUGCAAGCCUUCAAACAAAUUUGCAAAACUAAAUGGAGUGUGCAUGUCUCAUCCGAGGCCCUCCGAAAUUUGAGCGAGGCAAAGUGGAACUCUCCAACUUCUUCCCUUUGCUGAAGAUGUGAAAAAAAUGCAUCAGUAUCUUGACAGAGUAACGAGAGCCAAACUAAACCUGAAAAAAGAUCCAAGUAACAAGCACUGGGCAGAAGUUGCAAAAGUGACACUCAGGUGAUUCUGUUCAAUUGUAGAAGGAAGGAGAAGUAUCCAAGCUGUUCCUUUACAUUGAGGCACACCUCACUGACUCAUCCAAAUGUAGCGCUCGCUCUGACAGACCUUGAAAAGAAACUGUGUAAGCACUUCCAGAGAAUUGAGAGAAAAGACAAACGUGGACAAAAUUCCCUUUGUUCUCACUCCUGAUAUCGUGACCUCAAUGGAGUUACUUUUAAAGACUGGCAAAAACUUUGAUGUGCCCAAUGAAAACGUGUUCAUGGUUGGACGACCACAAGCACUCAGUCACUUCAGAGGAUCACACAUUAUUCGUCAGAUUGCUCAAAGCUGUGAAGCAGAACACCCUGAAGCGUUAUCCUCCACUAGACUUAGAAAGCACAUGGCCACUAUGUCCAAGGUCCUUAAUUUGAAAGACAAUUAAAUGGAUGACCUUGCUGACUUUUUAGUACACAACAUCAGGGUGCAUCGGCAGUACUACAGGCUACCUGAAGGUACAUUACAGCUGGAGAAGAUAAGUAAAGUUGGAGAGAGUUGAUGAGAGACAACUAUCUCAUUUCAAAAAAGCAAUCUAGAUGAGAUCCAGAUUGAUCCACAAGAGAGAGUACUGAUGGACAGUAAAGGAUCAGACUCUGAAAACGAGAAAGAAAACAAUGCUUCACCUCCACCAUCAAAUUCUGCAGACAAAUCAAAGACGACGACUCCUGAAGUUUGACAAGACAAAAGUCAUCACCCGGCUAAGGUUAAAACUAUUUUGAUAUUGAAAACAUCUGGGAAUGUUGUACUUGUAAAGAAAGUGCAUUCUGUUUAGGGAUUUUAUGAUUGGAACCAAUUGAUUAUAACCAAUUCCCAGUGCAGGAAUUUGUGCUUAAGACCAUGUAAAGGUGACGUGUAUAUAAAUAUGCCAGAUUUACAACUAUGCAAGCGAGCAUUUUAGCACAAAUGUGUCUAAAACUGUACAACAAUGAAAGUCAAACUAAAUAUUGUGUAUUUUACUGAUACGUUAUGACAGGGGCGUAGCCAUCAUUUCAAAAGUGGGGGGGGACAAAAUGUCUAGUGUUACACAUUGGUACUCUAAGGUAGUAGUGUGUACCUUUUUGAGUAUAAAGUACAAAGAUGUCCUUAUAAUGGUAUUAAAGUAUAUUGUUUACAUAUUUCACAUUGUAUUUUGUGUAUGCACAGUACAUGGCACACAGUAAUGAAGACUUGCACAUUCAAAUAAUACUUCAUUUUGUUCUAUUCUACAGUCCAUGUUUCAGGAAUAAAACAAGUAAUUAAAAACAAACUAUUGAAAGAAAAUAUGUAUUGAACUCAACUAACAAACAUGUCAAGACCCAAUAUCAAUUAUAUAAUGAGAUGAAAUAAACAUUUAGUGUCACUUCU